rnacentral:lncRNA from 1 species
AGCAGCCUCUUGGUCACUCACAGGACAGAAGACACAUUGCCCAUGGCAACACCACAAGGCCUAUAUUACGGGAAUAGAAACCUCUCCUUCCUGCAGUGUCCCUUCAAAGCCCAGAGGAUGAUGGUAACCAACUGAGCACAUGGUGUUCCAGCAGACGCCAGACAGCAAAUUGUUGGACCAGAUAACCCUGAGAUCUCAGCUCACGACUAAUUACUCUCAGAUGCAAACAACUGCUUCUUGGGCUUGCAGAAAGGACACGCGGACAAGAAGCCCUGUCUUCUUACUCAAAGAAGAAAUACCAACAAGGUGCUAAGAGACACAGAAGAAGACAUGCCUGGGAAGCUGGGUCACACUGCACCCCCAUUUCCAGGAAAACAGACGUCCCUUCCUAUUCUUUCGGGUUAGCUCAGCAUGCCUUUCCAGCAUGCGAGAUCCCUGCAGAUGUUUCAAAGGAUUCUCCAUGUACCCUAUAACAUUUCCGGGAACAUUUAUACGCUCUUUCCCCUGCAAUACAGCAUUAAACCUGAGGGGACUAAAAGUCAAGGGCUCUAUCCAAGUGCAGGAAAGUGUUCGGAAAGCUUUAGACAUUUGUUCCGUACUGAAAAAUGGAACAGCAAAUUAGAAGGUGAUAUGCAACUGUCCCCUCGUGCUUCCCUCCUGGCAACAGUGCAG